AUCUGCUGAGGGCAGAUAAAGUGAAUAUGACUGUCAAUGCCGCCGGCUGUGACGAUCAUCCCCUCUCCUGCCAGAGCUUCUGUAGAUGCGCCCACUGUCAUCCCCGGUGUGACGCCAUCCAUAAUAUCCGGAUUUCCCGCCUUGCCUAUGCCUGCUAUUUUUCCAUCACGGAUGCCAAUAUCAGCUUUUACGAUCCCUGUAUAAUCUACGAUCAGGGCAUUGGUAAUAACCAGAUCCAGACAGCCGUCCUCUCUGGCUGCCUUCACACAUUGUCCCAUGCCGUCAC
rnacentral:sRNA from 1 species